rnacentral:other from 1 species
GUCACAAUACCUUAUAAUCCCUAUCAGGGAUUGAAAC